rnacentral:rRNA from 1 species
ACCCGACUGCUAUCGGAUUGAGAUUUAGCCAUGCGAGUCGAACGUCCCCCUGUUGCGGGGGGCGUGGCGUACGGCUCAGUAACACGUAGUCAACCUGCCCUGGAGACAAGGACAACCCCGGGAAACUGGGAUUAAUCCUUGAUAGGUCAUCUCAUCUGGAAGGAGAGAUGGCUUAAAGGGGUACGCGGGCUUCUUCCGCGAAUCUGCUCCAGGAUGGGACUGCGUCCGAUCAGGCUGUUGGCGGGGUAAUGGCCCACCAAACCUGUAACCGGUACGGGCCUUGAGAGAGGUGGCCCGGAGAUGGACACUGAGAGAAGGGUCCAGGUCCUACGGGGCGCAGCAGGCGCGAAACCUCCGCAAUGCGCGAAAGCGUGACGAGGUUAAUCCGAGUGACUUCCGCUGAGGAGGUCUUUUGUCAGCUGUAAAUAGGCAGGCGAAUAAGGGGAGGGCAAGCCUGGUGUCAGCCGCCGCGGUAAUACCAGCUCCUCGAGUGGUCGGGGCGAUUAUUGGGCCUAAAGCAUCCGUAGCCGGUUCCGUAGGUCCUCUGUUAAAUCCAACCGCUUAACGGUUGACCUGCAGAGGAUACCGCGGGACUAGGAGGCGGGAGAGGCGGACGGUACUCCGCGUGUAGGGGUAAAAUCCUUUGAUCCGCGGAAGACCACCAGUGGCGAAAGCGGUCCGCCGGAACGCGCUCGACGGUGAGGGAUGAAAGCUGGGGGAGCGAACCGGAUUAGAUACCCGGGUAGUCCCAGCCGUAAACGAUGCUAGCUAGAUGAUUCAUUCGCAAGUCGCGAAUGAAGUGUCGCAGGAAGCCGUUAAGCUAGCCGCCUGGGGAGUACGGUCGCAAGACUGAAACUUAA